GUGAAAUGCGUAGAUAUUAGGAGGGAAUACCAGUGGCGAAGGCGACUAUCUGGACUGUAACUGAACACUGAGGCACGAAAAGCGUGUGGAGCAAAACAGGGAUUAGAUACCCUGGUAGUCCACGCCGUAAACGAUGAGUAACUAGGUGUCGGGGGGAAAACCUCGGUGCCGAAGUUAACACAUUAAAGUACUCCGCCUGGGGAGUACGCUCGCAAGAGUAAAACUCAAAGGAAUUGACGGGGACCCGCACAAGCAGCGGAGCAUGUGGUUUAAUUCGAAGCAACGCGAAGAACCUUACCUAAACUUGACAUACCAAUGACAGCCUUUUAAUCGAGGACUUUUACCUUCGGGUGGACAAUGGAUACAGGUGGUGCAUGGUUGUCGUCAGCUCGUGUCGUGAGAUGUUGGGUUAAGUCCCGCAACGAGCGCAACCCUUGUCGAUAGUUACCAGCAGUAAGAUGGGGACUCUAUCGAGACAGCUAAGGACAACUUAGAGGAAGGUGGGGAUGACGUCAAAUCAUCAUGCCCCUUAUGUUUAGGGCUACACACGUGCUACAAUGGUCAUUACAGAGAGAAGCAAAACUGCGAAGUCAAGCAAACCUCAAAAAGAUGAUCCAAGUUCGGAUUGUAGGCUGAAACUCGCCUACAUGAGGUUGGAGUUGCUAGUAAUCGCGAAUCAGAAUGUCGCGGUGAAUGCGUUUCCGGGUCUUGUACACACCGCCCGUCACACCAUGGGAGUUUGGGGGGCCCAAAUUCAAAAGGCUCAACCGCAAGGAGAGAGCUUCCCAAGGCAAAACUAUUUUUUGGGGAAGUCGUAACAAGGUAGCCAAUAAUGGUAUGGAAGAUCCGCGCGUACCGAUUCUUAUUUAAUGCCAUUUCCUCCCUCCCA
rnacentral:rRNA from 1 species